rnacentral:lncRNA from 1 species
GAGCCUUCAACUAGAAUUCAAAUUAAUUACAUUGUUCACUUCCUUAACCAUUGAAAAUUCGCGUUCAAUAAUCCUAAUCCAGACAAAUGGCACUAGAAACCUUUAAUUAAAAUUCCUUCUUGUCCAUAACCUUAGCCCUAAAAAGUGGUGGAGUAAGGUUUCUCGCCGGAUGGACAAGUGGAGGAGUGAGGUUUGACAAUGAUAGAGGGAGGUAGAAGUGUUGGGUGGAAGAGGAGAGCCAACUGGUGGUUUCAAAUCCAGAUCUGGUAGAGGGUGGAUGUAGCUGGCAAUGGCAUCGGCGACAUCGUGAGGACCGUCGACGGUGGUGACUGUAUCUCCAACAAUGGUAUGUGAUAGAGAGAAGGAGAU